GUGGCGGACGGGCGAGUAACGCGUGAGUAACCUGCCCAUAAGAGGGGGAUAAUCCAUGGAAACGUGGACUAAUACCGCAUAUUGUAGUUAAGUUGCAUGACUUGAUUAUGAAAGAUUUAUCGCUUAUGGAUGGACUCGCGUCAGAUUAGAUAGUUGGUGAGGUAACGGCUCACCAAGUCAACGAUCUGUAGCCGAACUGAGAGGUUGAUCGGCCGCAUUGGGACUGAGACACGGCCCAGACUCCUACGGGAGGCGGCAGUGGGGAAUAUUGCGCAAUGGGGGCAACCCUGACGCAGCAACGCCGCGUGCAGGAAGAAGGUCUUCGGAUUGUAAACCGUUGUCGCAAGGGAAGAAGACAGUGACGGUACCUUGUGAGAAAGUCACGGCUAACUACGUGCCAGCAGCCGCGGUAAUACGUAGGUGACAAGCGUUGUCCGGAUUUACUGGGUGUAAAGGGCGCGUAGGCGGACUGUCAAGUCAGUCGUGAAAUACCGGGGCUUAACCCCGGGGCUGCGAUUGAAACUGACAGCCUUGAGUAUC
rnacentral:rRNA from 1 species